UUUCCUACGGGACGCAGCAGUGAGGAAUAUUGGUCAAUGGUCGGGAGACUGAACCAGCCAAGCCGCGUGAGGGAUGAAGGUACAGAGUACCGUAAACCUCUUUUGUCAGGGAACCAAGGCGGGGACGUGUCCCCGGAUGAGUGUACCUGAAGAAAAAGCAUCGGCUAACUCCGUGCCAGCAGCCGCGGUAAUACGGAGGAUGCGAGCGUUAUCCGGAUUUAUUGGGUUUAAAGGGUGCGUAGGCGGACGCUUAAGUCAGCGGUAAAAUUGCGGGGCUCAACCUCGUCGAGCCGUUGAAACUGGGG
rnacentral:rRNA from 1 species